UUAACAGGAAAACAAAAGCAGAUCAGAAAUACCAGGCGUUCCUGACUCUCCACGAGCAUCAACUCCCUGCUCCUGUUACCACUUAUUGCUUGUCCAUCCUUGCAGUCAAGAAAAUAUAUUGCAGGGCACUGCCUUGUUGGCAGAGCCUUGGAACUGAAGCUGAGUCUCCCUGCUGCAUUUUAAGGUCUCCAGACUGUUGUAGCUGUCCCCAGAGGCUGGAGAGCAGCCAGCUGGCUGGAGCAGCUGCUGGCCAUGCAGGAGGUCUCACACACUGCAGUGCUGGGACCCUGGCAGGGGGAGACCUCACUAGCUGCUGAAAAAUCAGGAGAGUCUUAGAGCCAAGUGCUAUGUGCUCAGCUGAAGAUGGAUGUGGCAAUCAGAGGUAAAAUGCUGCUCCAGUGAAACACAGGAUGCUCUCGGGUGGCGGACAAGGCUUUGUGCUGCCCUCUGGAGAUGCUCUUCACAGGGACAGAGGCAGGGAGAGCCUCAGGGUGUGUCCAAAAGCAAUGACUUCUCCAGGAUUUGGAUAUUCAGCCUCACUGUGUUGCUGUUUCUGAAUGGCCAGAGCCCCGUGGUAGUGCCUGUGUCUUUCUGGAUAUGGCCAUGUGUGAUGUGCUCCAGACUUGGGAUAAAGGAGGAAGGACCACAGCCAAGCCUUGGUUUCCCAGGCAGGUUCCUGAUGGCCACGAAUUAAGCAGGAGCUCCACUGCUCUCGAGGGUGAAGCCCAGGAAUGGCUGUGGUCUAUAAACCACCGAGGGUUUAGAUAAGGAAGAUGUCAGCCUGACCUUCCUACACGGAAGUGGCAGGAGUUACCUGCAGCCAUGGAGCUUAUGAAACUAAAAAAGAUGGGAAAGAGAAAAAAAGAAGACCAUGGGUAGGAAUGGAGAUGGACAAAAAAGGGAGAAAAC